rnacentral:rRNA from 1 species
GACGAACGCUGGCGGCGUGCCUAAUACAUGCAAGUCGAGCGGUGAAGAUUGGUGCUUGCACCAAUUUGGAGAGCAGCGCGCGGGUGAGUAACGCGUGGGGAAUCUGCCUUUUAGCGGGGGACAACAUUUGGAAACGAAUGCUAAUACCGCAUAACAACUUUAAACAUAAGUUUUAAGUUUGAAAGAUGCAAUUGCAUCACUCAAAGAUGAUCCCGCGUUGUAUUAGCUAGUUGGUGGGGUAAAGGCUCACCAAGGCGAAGAUACAUAGCCGACCUGAGAGGGUGGACCGGCAACAUGGGAAUGGGACACGGGCCAAACCUCCACCGGAGGGAGCAGUUGGGAAUCUUUGGACAUGGGCGGAAGGCUGAACGCGGAAAGGCGGGGUGGGUGAGAAGGGUCUUGGGGUGGAAAAGUCCGUUGGUAGGGAAGGAAGUUGGUGGGAGUGGAACGGUCGUGAAGUGACGGUAACUGACCAGAAAGGGACGGCUAACUACGUG